GGUGGCUCAGUGGUAGAGUGCUUGCCUCGCAAGCAUGAGGUCCUAGGUUCAAUUCCUCAGCACCA
rnacentral:tRNA from 1 species